rnacentral:lncRNA from 1 species
GAGACUUGUACUUGUAAGGGUGCUUGGGUGGUGAUGGUGGGGGUGGGGGUGGGGACUUGUACUUGUAGGGGUGUUUGGGUGGUGAUGGUGGUGGUGGUGGGGACUUGUACUUGUAAGGAUGCUUGGGUGGUGAUGGUGGUGGAGGUGGAGGAGACUUGUACUUGUAAGGAUGCUUGGGUGGUGAUGGUGGAGGAGGUGGUGGAGACUUAUACUUGUAAACAGGAGUUGGUGGGGGAGGAGAUUUGUACUUGUAAGGCUUCUUGUGUGGUGGUGGUGGUGGAGAGUAGACCGGAGGAGGCGGUGGUGGAGACUUGUAAUGGUAAGGUGGUGGUGGGUACUUCUUAG